rnacentral:rRNA from 1 species
CCUACGGGUGGCAGCAGUGAGGAAUAUUGGUCAAUGGACGAGAGUCUGAACCAGCCAAGUAGCGUGAAGGAUGACUGCCCUAUGGGUUGUAAACUUCUUUUAUAUGGGAAUAAAACGUUCCACGUGUGGGAUUUUGUAUGUACCAUAUGAAUAAGGAUCGGCUAACUCCGUGCCAGCAGCCGCGGUAAUACGGAGGAUCCGAGCGUUAUCCGGAUUUAUUGGGUUUAAAGGGAGCGUAGGUGGAUUUUUAAGUCAGUUGUGAAAGUUGGCGGCUCAACCGUAAAAUUGCAGUUGAAACUGGCAGUCUUGAGUACAGUAGAGGUGGGCGGAAUUCGUGGUGUAGCGGUGAAAUGCUUAGAUAUCACGAAGAACUCCGAUUGCGAAGGCAGUUCACUGGACUGCAACUGACACUGAGGCUCGAAAGUGUGGGUAUCAAACAGGAUUAGAUACCCCUGUAGUC